UUGCCCUGGCACUUUCCUCUCCACACAAAUCCUGCAAGUGCAACCUAAAUUGGCUGCCGAGGCGAACUGUUGAGCUUUGAUUAUGAAUGGGGAAGUCGAGAAUUCAGCUGCGCAGCGUGCUCGUUGCUGGCUGAACGUUGCGAGUUCAGCCUCAAUUUCGAGAAUUACAAACCAUAGCCCAUUACGUAAACGUCGUAGUUGUACUCGCAACCAGCGAAAGGUAUUUUUACGUUAGCUCAUGUAGUUCUCGUUGUUGGUUUUACGCUGGACUGCCAAUCGGACCUGUUCUAGUCCUCCAUGUUGGUGGCGACCUAAAUUUGAGUUGGACUAGAUUUUCAAUAGGAGGGCUAGCAUCUUCUUCCUUGUAUAAUGGAUAGAACUAAAAAUUUGGUGAGGAGAUAUGUGCUCCACGUCUUCCAUGCGGUAGAGACAUGGUAAUGAGCAAUCCUUACUUGAAAGCUACGAAAUGCGGAUUGUGCUUGUUUGGUUUCCAAACGUGAGUUGGAUCAGCUAGGUUUGCAUCUGGUCGGUUGUGAGUUUAUGUAUUAUUUCGCUUCUUUGAGUCGCGAGGAUCUUCAGAUUGAGAGCAGUGGCGCGACAGAUGGUUAUUGUCUAAUUGCAUGGUUUAGAAUAUGCCCCAUGCACGGCAAAUUUAGGUGGGUAAGUCACCUCUGUGGAGAGGCUAUUUUGUUGGCCUUGAUACUUUGUCGUUAGGUUUUCGAAAAUCUGGAGUUGAAAGGCCUCUAGGUAUAUUUUUCCAGCUAGCCUUCACUAAGAGGAGAACCUGGUGCUUAUUCUCUAUUGCACUACAGAAAACUUGUCGGAGUCGAAAAAGGAUGAUGAAAUCAAGAGACUACGAACUGGAAAAGUAAUGAACAAGAUACCCUUUCAGCAAAUUCAGGUGUCUAUGUUGUAGUACCUAAAUAACAAAUACUCCCUAUGACCUUACCCAUGCAAUCGAUACUUUGUACAUCACAUUUACUGUCAUGAUAUGGUCUCUCAGGAGUAAUCUGAAGUGAUUGUAGUUAAUAUGUAAGUUAGAAAUAAGCGCAAAUGUGUGAGCAUCAUCAAGGCCCCCGAUAUGUUUGGUAGGUUCGACAUAUCACAGCAGAUCAUUUAAAGGUUAAUGCUAGUUCAUUACAGAGUUUUAGCAGUUCUUAUUUUUAAAAAUAUUUUUUCUGCUCACUUCUGUUGAAUACCAGUAAAAGGGUAGUAUGUACAGAAUUACUACAAUCCUUUUCAGUAGACAUCCAUGCUAUUGUUCCCACAACAGAAACUGUUUAGUUUGAGGAUCAUUUCAUGCAUUGUAACACAUUCUUAUCGACUUCCACAGAUCUCCGAACAUUGUGAUCUCUAUCUGCAUUUGAGGAGUAUGAUACUUACGGGAUGAGCCUGGCAUUGCAGGAAUUAAAAUGAGCUAGGCUUUGAAUUGGGCAAGUGGUUUGUCUGUUUUGGGGUGAGUGAUAUCAUUUACCUAUAAGUGGUAUUUAAACCACAAUAUGGGAGUAUGUUUUGCCCUCACAACCUUAUAUUGUUGAUUAUUUUAAUUCUAAUUAGUUAUAGUAAUCAACUAAAAUGGUUCCUAGUUCAUCACGUUUUAGGAUUGAGG
rnacentral:lncRNA from 1 species